rnacentral:rRNA from 1 species
AUUGAACGCUGGCGGCAUGCCUUACACAUGCAAGUCGAACGGCAGCACGGGAGCAAUCCUGGUGGCGAGUGGCGAACGGGUGAGUAAUAUAUCGGAACGUGCCCAGUCGUGGGGGAUAACGUAGCGAAAGCCACGCUAAUACCGCAUACGAUCUAUGGAUGAAAGCGGGGGAUCGCAAGACCUCGCGCGAUUGGAGCGGCCGAUAUCAGAUUAGGUAGUUGGUGAGGUAAAGGCUCACCAAGCCGACGAUCCGUAGCUGGUCUGAGAGGACGGCCAGCCACACUGGGACUGAGACACUGCCCAGACUCCUACGGGAGGCAGCAGUGGGUAAUUUUGGACAAUGGGCGCAAGCCUGAUCCAGCAAUGCCGCGUGCAUGAUGAAGGCCUUCGGGUUGUAAACUGCUUUUGUACGGAACGAAACGGUGAGCUCUAAUACAGUUUGCUAAUGACGGUACCGUAAGAAUAAGCACCGGCUAACUGCGUGCCAGCAGCCGCAGUAAAAC